rnacentral:rRNA from 1 species
UACGUAGGGGGCAAGCGUUAUCCGGAUUUACUGGGUGUAAAGGGAGCGUAGACGGCGAUGCAAGUCUGAAGUGAAAGGCGGGGGCUCAACCCCCGGACUGCUUUGGAAACUGUAUGGCUGGAGUGCAGGAGAGGUAAGUGGAAUUCCUAGUGUAGCGGUGAAAUGCGUAGAUAUUAGGAGGAACACCAGUGGCGAAGGCGGCUUACUGGACUGUAACUGACGUUGAGGCUCGAAAGCGUGGGGAGCAAACAGG